UACCGCGUAAGCGGCCGCCUCACGGAAAGGCGCUCCGUGGAAGGGUGGGGGGGACACGACACCCCAAACCGAGCCCUGACGGGAGGACGGGAGGGCGGGAGGAAGGCCCACUCGGGGAACACCUCUCCGUCCGUCAGGGACGCGGCUCCUCAGCUCUGAGGGCCGCCUCGGGAAUACCGGCGCUCCGCGGCAGCUGCAGCCAACGGCGUGUCGUGAGAAAGGAACUUUGUUCCAGAAAGGAACAGAAUGCAAUAUAGACUGAACAUCUUUUGUCACUUGCUGCCAUCUAUCAGCAGUGAAGAGCAAGACAGCAAAGACUGACUGAGCAAAGACUGAGGUCAGCCUUAAAGAAACUGAAAGCAUUCCUGAAAAAAAUAAAUGUUUGUGUGGGCUGGGGAGAGAAAAAGGCACAGAGCCCUGGAAUCCAAUGAGAAAAAGAGCCUGCCAGGCCUCCUGCUCAUACCAUUCCAGAUGCUGAUGGCCCAUCUUUCCCAGCCACAGAGGACCGGAAUCUCCACGGACAACCAUUUUUUCAAACCAUGUCUCAUCAGACAGAUUAAUUCAUAGUGUGGCUAUAGGAUUUGAGCAUGCUUUUGGCAAAGCCAAGAAAUCGUGAAUAAGAAUCUGUAUUCGUACAUUGCAAUGUUACUGAGAAAGAAAACACACGGGGGUUGUAGGUAGUGGUAUCACUAUCUGUCUGAGGAAGUAACAGUUAACGCCUACUGUAUUGUCCUGCAGAGCUCUCUUUUGAAAUUACAAGCUAUCUUUUCUGCUCUUUUUGUUCAAGACAGAGUCUCUUUCUCACUAGAGGGUUUAAGCUUCCUUAGUUCUUUCACCCAACUCUUGAUACUUUGCCCAGCAGAAGGGCAGCUUCUGGGUUUAUGCUAAAUAUGCCUCAGUUUUCCACUGGGCUUAGCCUUUAAGUUACAAUACACAAAUAUGGCAAAAGCAACUUUUCCCUCUCCCUGGGGUUUCUCUGAAUUUACAGCCCUAUUGUGUUCCUUAAUUAGAACAUUCCUUCUAUCCUAAAUGGCCUUUUUGACAGUUACAUUUCCAAGGUUGUUAUGAAGUGUUAAUUUACAGUCAUUGUUUCACCUUGAACUCUUCUUAACCAGACAGCCCAGGCAAUAAUAAACCCCACCAAUUCCUUGAAUCCCAGUUUUAGUCAGUGGGACCUGCAUUGCCGUAAUUGUGCCCCUGACACAAUUAUUAUCCUCAUGUUACUAGGACAUAAGCAUAAACAACUUGCCACGUUAGACCAAAUGAAUGCUAGACAGCUCUGAGCUUGUUUCACAUGAUCCUCUCACAGGUUUGUUAAUCUACUGGAUGUCUCCAUAAUACCCUGUGAGAGAAGCUGCUGCUUUAGAAAUGUGCCAAAAAGUCUACCAUGCAGAUUCAGUACAUAAAACCACACAGCCAGAAGCAAAGUAUAUAUCAUUCUUCAGCAGGAGAGAAAGGAUUGGUUGCUUAAGGGCAUAUUUAAGUGAGUUUGCCUCUCUUCCAGAAUUCAUAAAUAUUUAAAUAUUUCUGAUCCACGCGUCGGAACAGCAAACAUACAAUCCACCCAAAGAGUUAAAGCUUGAGCUGUGGCUGUGAUAAACACAAUAAUUUCUGUUGAAUGCUGCUUGAAACAAGAUUAAACCUGGACAAAGA